rnacentral:rRNA from 1 species
AUUGAACGCUGGCGGCAUGCCUUACACAUGCAAGUCGAACGGUAACAGGGAGCUUGCUCCGCUGACGAGUGGCGCACGGGUGAGUAAUGCGUCGGAACGUACCGAGUAGUGGGGGAUAACGCAUCGAAAGGUGUGCUAAUACCGCAUACGUACUGAGGUAGAAAGUGGGGGACCUUCGGGCCUCACGCUAUUCGAUCGGCCGACGUCUGAUUAGCUAGUUGGUGAGGUAAAGGCUCACCAAGGCGACGAUCAGUAGCGGGUCUGAGAGGAUGAUCCGCCACACUGGGACUGAGACACGGCCCAGACUCCUACGGGAGGCAGCAGUGGGGAAUUUUGGACAAUGGGCGCAAGCCUGAUCCAGCCAUGCCGCGUGUCUGAAGAAGGCCUUCGGGUUGUAAGGGACUUUUGUCCGGGAGCAAAUGCUGGUGGCUAACAUCCACCGGAGCUGAGAGUACCGGAAGAAUAAGCACCGGCUAACUACGUGCCAGCCGCCGCAGUAAAAC